AAUCGCGGCUCCGGCUGGGGAGGCGGGGCCACGUCGGCGCACGUCGACGCUCAAAUAAACUUUAUUGUCAGCUUCCUGGUUGUACAAUAGGCAGAAAACCACCGGGAAGCCACUUUCCUUUCUUUCUUGCUAUAGCAUGCAGAGAAUAGUAUAUGUAGGCUUUUGGUAUUCGCUGUACCUCCCGUUGGAUUACAGAAUUACUGUUUAGUGUUUUGAGUGCAUUCAUUCAUUUUAUUACUCCUCCUACAUAACAGGUGCUCUUCUAACACUGGUAAUACAAAGACUACAAAGCAAGGUCCCUAUAGUAAGAUGCUUUCAGACUAAUUGGGAGUGAUCCACAGACAGUGGAGAGAGAGCAGUGAACAAGACAGACCAGGCCCCUAUUUUCAUGGAGUUUAAAAGGCUAAUGAGGGAAACAAUAAACAGAUAAGUAUAAACUAAGGCUUGAAGAUGGUGAGGCAUUCACCAUGCAGUCAAAAGGGUAACCUAGUUUGAGGGAAGAGGAUGUAUAAAGGCAAGAAAUGAGCAACAGCAUGGCCCAGAGGGACUAGAGCUUAUAGGGGCUGGAGGGUGAGAGGGAAUGACAGCUGAUAAGACUAUAGACAAAGGCAGGGCUCUGAUAAGGAAAAGCCUCUCAUGGCAAGCUAAGGGGAGCUAUUGAAAUUCUUGGGGGUAAGCCAACUAUGUACGUUUCAUUUCAUUUCAUUAAUUAAGAUUUUAAUUAAACACUUAGGAUCUGAGGAGCAUACAAAUGAGUAAACUACAGUCUCUAUUUUCAGGAAGUUUAAGUAUAAUGACAAAUAUAGAUGUGUAAAUAAAUACUUAUAAUCUGGAGUUAGAAAGAGUAAGUGAAUUACAAGAAAUAUAAAAUGUACUACAAAGAAGUACAGGCCAGGUGCAGAAGCUCAUGCCUGUAGUCCCAGCACUUUGGGAGGCUGAGGUGGGAGGAUAGUUCAAGCCCAGGAGUUUGAGACCAGCCUAGGCAACAUAGUGAGACUUUGUCUCUAUUAAAACUAAAAAAAAAAAAAAAAGAAGAAAGAAAAAUUAGCCUGGCAUGCUCGUGUGUGCCUGUGGACCCAGCUACUCAGGAGGCUGAGGUGGGAGGAUCACUUGAGCCUGCAAGGUUGAGGCUGCAGUGAGCCAUGAUCACACCAACCUGUGCAACAUGUAAGACCCCAUCUCAAAAAUAAUAAUAAUAAAAAGAAGUACAGAGGCUAGAAUACAGCUUUAGUUUUAAGGGGGCACUGUAAGAUAAUCUGUAUUUUUCAAUUAAGGUGCUUAUAGAGUGAAUCAAGAAAAUCAGUUCAAGAGUGUCUCAUUUCCAACAAAAUUUGAUCAAAGAUAUGGCUAUAAUCUCAUAUUGUAGUGCAUGCUAGUUGUAUAAUUAAUGAAAUACUAACCAAAAAAUGAAAAAAUGAACCAAUCAUGGAAGGGAAAAUAAUAAAUACUUACAUAUAAAUAAUAAAUUAAAAAGGGGGAAAAAUACAAUUGCAGACCAUGAAUUUCUUUAAAAAAAUAAGGAAAAACAUCUCUUACCAUUUGUUUUCUGAAAUUGACCUUUCAAGGCAAAAAAUGAAGUUGUUUGCUCCUGGCCUAGUCUUUCCACUUCAGGGUCCCCAUUGUCAGCAACUUAAGACUGUCCCUAGUCAUCAGCCCCGGCCACCACCAGGAGUGGGGAGGUUGGAGGAAGAUUCAGAUGAUGCAGAAUGCUAAAGUGUCAGGGGAUACUUGAGCAGGGGAUAAAGCAAACUUUGGGAAAGAAGUAUAAAAUAAAUAUUAAUCCAUUUUUUAUGUUAAAACCCAGUUAUCUUUUUUUUUCUCUGAAUUUGAAGGAGUUCUUUGACCUAUUCUGAAUGGAGUGUCCAACACCAUUAUUGUGGGUGAUUGAGACUCAUCCGUAUGAACUAUUCACCUUCGUACCUCCCGUUUACAACUCAGCAUUGCUGGAAGAGCUGAACAGCCGCAUGGAUCAUUUUUCAAUUAUAGAAAAACAAAUUCUAAGCCUGAGAGAAAAAGUGCAUGAGAAAGAAAGGGAGGAAUAUAGCUGCUAGCAGACAAGACAUAUACUUCCCAGCUCCACCACUGUGACUCUUUUAAUUCAAAGAGAUUUUUCAAUUUUCCAGUGAGAUUCUGGCCUCAAUUCCUGUCCUAGGCUCAGAAAAAGCACAAUAGUUUCUUUAUACAUCUUUUCUUUUAAAAAGCUCCCUGGAAAAUAUUGUAAAUAUGCUACUAUAUUGAGGUUUGAUAAUAAAGGGAAAAAUUUUGCUCUUUA